rnacentral:rRNA from 1 species
AGCGAACGCUGGCGGCAUGCCUAACACAUGCAAGUCGAACGAGACCUUCGGGUCUAGUGGCGCAUGGGUGCGUAACGCGUGGGAACCUGCCCUUAGGUUCGGAAUAACUCCCCGAAAGGGGUGCUAAUACCGGAUAAUGUCUUCGGACCAAAGAUUUAUCGCCUUUGGAUGGGCCCGCGUUGGAUUAGCUAGUUGGUAGGGUAAAAGCCUACCAAGGCGACGAUCCAUAGCUGGUCUGAGAGGAUGAUCAGCCACACUGGGACUGAGACACGGCCCAGACUCCUACGGGAGGCAGCAGUGGGGAAUAUUGGACAAUGGGCGAAAGCCUGAUCCAGCAAUGCCGCGUGAGUGAUGAAGGCCUUAGGGUUGUAAAGCUCUUUUACCCGGGAUGAUAAUGACAGUACCGGGAGAAUAAGCUCCGGCUAACUCCGUG